AGCUGGGUGAAGCCGGAAUUGAGGCACCCGCGGGCUAUGCGCUUCCAGAGGAGAUCGCGGCUACUGAGGAAGCGCAGGCGGCGGCAGACCUGGCUCAGGCGGCCCAAGGCCUGCACGUCCAGGAGCCUGGAGUACUGACAACACAGGAGGAUCCUGGUCCAAAAUGGCAAAGUAGCCCUCCACAGACAGUGGAGCAGGAAAAUAUGAGUACAGUGUUGUUUUAUUCUUUCUUACAGUAUUUUCCACUCUACAGAAGCCUGAAAUGCUCAAGGAAACUUCUGCCUCAGAAUUAAAAAAUAUAUGAAUUAUGAAAAGUAAAUCAUCUACCUAGAAUUCUUUGUAUAGACAUCAUUUACCAACCUCAAAUUGCAGGUCCUUUUGCACUGUAGAACUGGAAAAUAAAUUUCAGCAUUUAAUGAGGUUACCAUAGCAGACAGGCCUUUUAGACUUACUUGCAUCCUGUUCCAGGAGGUCAUCUCAUCUGUUUAAUCUCAAGCACUCAAAUAUUCAUUUAUCUAAAUCAGCUCUGGAGGCCUUGUAUUUGAAAGGUUCAAAACUGCCAGCUGAGGAGCUGUCUGGUCCACUUACACUGAGUUUCAAUGCACCCUGGAAGUCAAGGAGAUUCUAAAGGAUCAGAAGACAGCAAAUAUUUUAUCAACGUUUAUAAUGAGUGAAUCAGAUGGCCAGAGCAAUUAAAAAUUUCAGCACCUCAGAUUAAGUUCAGAUAAAAUAACAGCACAUCUGGUACAGGACUGAAGCGGCCAGUUGAAAGGGAGGCAAUAUAACAAACGUUACUUAACAAAAGAUUAUGGAGAAUUGAUGUGAAUUCUGUGUCUCUUUGAUGACAUUAAUCUUAAACAUGUAACUAUAAUCAGCUCUUUUGUAAUAGACUUUGGCAGUCUGAAACAUUAAAUUUAUUAAAAGCUGACUGACUCCUCUGUCGUAAAUUGUUAUUAUAAAGAGAAGUUUAUUAUCAAGUUGGUCUUUCUCUGGUAGGAUUCCACAGAGACAGCAUAUGGAUCCUACAUUUUUGGAUGUUUUUAUUAGUGACCUGAAAAAAAAUCUGAAGUCAUUAUUAGCAAAGUCUUUAGAAGGCAUAAAGCCUCGGGGAAGAGGCCACUGGUGCUUAUGGCUGCGUAACCUUAUGUUAUGUUUAGGCAUAAUCAACUCAUACGUAUUUCAAUCAAGUCAAAUGUAAAGUCUCACAUCCAGGAACAAAGAAUGUAGGUCACACUGAAAGGAUGUAACUCUAUCCUGCAAAGCUGCAAUUCCGUAAAGACUUCAUUAAGAUGAAUAAUCAUCUAAACGUGAGCUCUUUCUGCAGUGCAAAGGGCUGGGAAACAAACAAGAGCCAGGAGGUUGUUUCACUUCUGGUUUUGACUCUGUUGUGACGGCUUUGGAAAUAAUUUGUCCAGCCAACAUUUCAAAAAGGAUGUUGAAAAACUAGUGGAUUUUCUAAGAAGAGCAGUAAGAAGGAUUGCAGGGCUGUCAAACAUGUUUUAUAGUGAGAACCAAAGUGCUCAGUCUGUUCAGCUUUCUAAAGAGGGUAAGGUGUGAGGGGAUCAUACCUUGUGGGCACUGAAACAGGAAAUAAAAUCUGGUGAUACCAGGAUCUUCAGUUUAGCAGACAGAGUGAUAAGAUCACUUAACAGAAAGUGAUGGGAAACAUAUUUAUAAAUAUAUUUUUGUUGGGAAGCUAUUUUAAACAAUAUCAGAAUUUUUCCCCCUUGAGCAAGACUGACUAGCCUACAGCAACUAAAUCUUUAAGCCAGGAAUUGAUCUAGCGACUCCUAACUUGGUAUAUCAGAUCAGUCAGAGGGGCCCCUACUUGUUUUAGGCUCUGUUAAUAUGCAAGUGCUUCAUCUGCCACGUCUGACAUCUCCUUGCACAUUAUGACACCCUUAUCCCAAUGUGCAGGAGCCUUGUUUGUGCCCGAGUCCUUCACCAAGGUGCACGUUGGAAGGGGACUGUUCAAAGUGCCACGUGCAGUGUAGCAUGUAGCAAUGGCAGAUCCAAAAUACUGAGAAGUACAUACACAAAAUAGGGUCUGACUUAGCGCUCUCCAGUUUGUGUCCCAAGAUAUAAGUAACUGUGGAAGAUUUGGCUAAGAUGAAAUAUGUUUACAAGCAGUGAUCAUACAGAAGGUCAAAUAGCAUCCCAAUAGGUGUCACAAAAAAUGUUACGAAGAAACCAAUGAUAUGUUGCUCUUAAAAGUAAUAUUGUUUUGUAGUGUGGAUAGUUGCCUUACAACAGUAAUUUAGCCCAAACACUGUGAUCUGUUACUUUCUUUCUCUGCAAGAGGAACAGACCUACAAGCACAUACGCUGCUCAGAUGUGGUUUCAGCAGAUGUGACUGCUGUGGAGCUGUCAGUGCUGCUCAUCGAAGGCUGAGAUGGCCCUUGUCUUCUCAGCAGAGCUGAACAAAGUGCAUAGGUAGCUGUCUGCAAGAGCAAGAAGCAAAGAAGUUUUGGGAGCAUUUCUAAAACGAAAGGAUUAGAAACCUCCACGGAACUUGCACUCUAUUAAAGCAGAGUGCUCGCCAUUGAGAACCGAGGAGCUGAAUUGUUUUCAGAUUAUAUGUGUGUGUGUGUCUUUCCCACAUCAAAGACUUUGAUGGAAGCUGUUCACGCUAUUGUCAGGAAUGCAGGGAUUGGCACAAAGGUGAUUAGCAGAAUUGCUUUUCUGCAGUAGAAGCACAAAAAAAUAUCAAAGGAUUAAAGAGGAUAAAAUUAAAAGGUUAUGCUGA